AAAUUGAAGAGUUUGAUCAUGGCUCAGAUUGAACGCUGGCGGCAGGCCUAACACAUGCAAGUCGAGCGGUAGCACAGAGAGCUUGCUCUCGGGUGACGAGCGGCGGACGGGUGAGUAAUGUCUGGGAAACUGCCUGAUGGAGGGGGAUAACUACUGGAAACGGU
rnacentral:rRNA from 2 species